UACGUAGGGCGCAAGCGUUGUCCGGAAUUCUUGGGCGUAAAGAGCUCGUAGGCGGCCUGUUACGUCUGCUGUGAAAUCCCGGGGCUUAACCCCGGGCGUGCAGUGGAUACGGGCAGGCUGGAGGCAGGCAGGGGAGAACGGAAUUCCCGGUGUAGCGGUGAAAUGCGCAGAUAUCGGGAGGAACACCGGUGGCGAAGGCGGUUCUCUGGGCCUGUACUGACGCUGAGGAGCGAAAGCGUGGGGAGCGAACAGG
rnacentral:rRNA from 1 species